GAUGAACGCUGGCGGCGUGCCUAAUACAUGCAAGUCGAGCGAACGUACGAGAAGCUUGCUUCUCUGCUGUUAGCGGCGGACGGGUGAGUAACACGUGGAUAACCUACCUAUAAGACUGGGAUAACUUCGGGAAACCGUAGCUAAUACCGGAUAAUAUUUUGAACCGCAUGGUUCAAAAGUGAAAGACGGUCUUGCUGUCACUUAUAGAUGGAUCCGCGCUGCAUUAGCUAGUUGGUAAGGUAACGGCUUACCAAGGCAACGAUGCAUAGCCGACCUGAGAGGUUGAUCGGCCACACUGGAACUGAGACACGGUCCAGACUCCUACGGGAGGCAGCAGUAGGGAAUCUUCCGCAAUGGGCGAAAGCCUGACGGAGCAACGCCGCGUGAGUGAUGAAGGUCUUCGGAUCGUAAAACUCUGUUAUUAGGGAAGAACAUAUGUGUAAGUAACUGUGCACAUCUUGACGGUACCUAAUCAGAAAGCCACGGCUAACUACGUG
rnacentral:rRNA from 1 species